ACCAACCGACGCGGGAGCUUGGGGCAACCAGGCUGAGAGGGCAGCUACAGCUGCUGCCGACCGCAUGAACCUGUCCGGGUAAUGCCGGCGUAGGGAGCGUUAAUGACGCCUG
rnacentral:ncRNA from 1 species